ACAUACGGGGCUUUAUGUCUUGUAAAUUGGAUGAUGGGAAUUUAAACCUCUUCCAGAGUAUCAAUUGGAGGGCAAGUCUGGUGCCAGCAGCCGCGGUAAUUCCAGCUCCAAUAGCGUAUAUUAAAAUUGUUGCAGUUAAAAAGCUCGUAGUUGAAUUUCUGCUGCAUUGCAUUUUCUCCUAUACGAGUUUUUGCAUUGUGGCUUAUUUCGGUUAUAAAAUUUAUUUUUAUUUCCGGAUGUUUACUUUGAGAAAAUUAGAGUGCUCAAAGCAGGCUUUUGCCUUGAAUAGUUUAGCAUGGAAUAAUAAAGUAGGACUUUGGUUCUAUUUUGUUGGUUUUAGGUACCAAAGUAAUGGUUAAUAGGAACAGUUGGG
rnacentral:rRNA from 1 species